rnacentral:lncRNA from 1 species
CUUCACCUCCCAUUGUCUCUGUCUCUCUCUUUCUCCUCUGCUUCCCCUCACCCCACAACCAAAGUCAAGAGCGCAGACCCCAUGAUCACCUGAUACUUCCAAGCAAGCAGGUGUUCUUUUCAGAAGCCAGAAGCUGAUAACCUGGGCUUUCUGAUCUAACCCCAGCCCAAAUUCAUUGCAAUGGAGGAAUUGGGGAGGAGAUUCUUCCUACUGAGAAGUGGGUGCCAACUCUCCCUUUCAAAUUUGUUCAUCAACAAACUAAAGGGGAUGCCAGAAAUGUCUGGAGCAAUGGAAGAACCACUGGAAUAAUGCUCCUGCCUGAUUGUAUCUACUUAACCCACUCUCCAAGAGCCAGAAUCAGAUUUCAACCGUAUGGAAUCAUCUACAAUGCAGCAGAUGGGUUUACAAGUCUCUUGGUCUCUUCAUGAAGAAGGCGCAGCAAUCGUGUCCCAAGUCCUUGAGGACUUCACAGGGUGUUCUAGUGUCCUGAGAAUAUACCUGCCUAAGGCACUGUGGUGGGAUUCUGCCAUUCGAGAAUCUCAGACUAAGAUCAUCUGUUUCAACAAGCAUCGAUCAAGCACCCACAUUGCAGCUGGCACUCUGCUUGAUGGUGAGAUGAGUGUCAAGACCAGUUCCUUAUUUUACAGGGAAGGCCAUCAAGGUUGAAAGUGGAAAUUUCCCAAGGUCAGAGACAGAGUGGUAGAGCCAGUCCAUGCAUUCUGGUCUCCUGUCUCCUGUUCCAGUGCUCAUUCGUGACACUGCUGCUCUCCCUAACACUUCAUCCCACGAGAAUACUCUUGAGAAUAUUGUUCUUGGCUGUUCCAAAUAGAAAGAUCAUCUGUCCAUU